rnacentral:rRNA from 2 species
CCCGGUGAUCUAGCCAUGGGCAGGUUGAAGGUUGGGUAACACUAACUGGAGGACCGAACCGACUAAUGUUGAAAAAUUAGCGGAUGACCUGUGGCUGGGGGUGAAAGGCCAAUCAAACCGGGAGAUAGCUGGUUCUCCCCGAAAGCUAUUUAGGUAGCGCCUCGUGAAUUCAUCUCCGGGGGUAGAGCACUGUUUCGGCUAGGGGGCCAUCCCGGCUUACCAACCCGAUGCAAACUGCGAAUACCGGAGAAUGUUAUCACGGGAGACACACGGCGGGUGCUAACGUCCGUCGUGAAGAGGGAAACAACCCAGACCGCCAGCUAAGGUCCCAAAGUCAUGGUUAAGUGGGAAACGAUGUGGGAAGGCCCAGACAGCCAGGAUGUUGGCUUAGAAGCAGCCAUCAUUUAAAGAAAGCGUAAUAGCUCACUGGUCGAGUCGGCCUGCGCGGAAGAUGUAACGGGGCUAAACCAUGCACCGAAGCUGCGGCAGCGACACUGUGUGUUGUUGGGUAGGGGAGCGUUCUGUAAGCCUGUGAAGGUGUGUCGUGAGGC